CCAAAGGCUCUUCUCAGAGCCACCCAUAUAGUCACUAAGAAUUGU
rfam:Xenopus tropicalis strain Nigerian Chr06_contig_47, whole genome shotgun sequence.